UUGUUUAGAUGGAACUGCCAUUCACUGGAUUUGAACUGACCUUCAUCAUUGUUGCCUUCAUCAUCUUCUCCCUCUUCAGCCUGGCUUCAGUCUGCAUCCAGCCAGAAAAAGAUGUCUAUGAAGCUAAAAAGUCAAGACUACUUAACACAAAGCAAAGAGUGAUCACCAAGCAAGCUGGACAGAAGACGUAAAGUCUGAAUCCUUUAUCUGCAGGGUUUUCAUUGUACUGUGAAGUUCUCACAAGAACAAAAGAGAGAGACAACACAAAAUUAACUGAAAACUGAUCAUAGUCCACAACAUUAAGUUCAAACAAUAAUAAAGCAGCAAUAAACUUGUCCCCCAUGUAUGAUGAUACAAAUAUGGAAAAGGUCACAUUUAAUAACUGUUACAUAUUACCAUAAUUAAAUUUGAGUGGCAG